rnacentral:rRNA from 1 species
AGAGUUGAUCCUGGCUCAGAUUGAACGCUGGCGGCAGGCCUAACACAUGCAAGUCGAGCGGUAGAGAGAAGCUUGCUUCUCUUGAGAGCGGCGGACGGGUGAGUAAUGCCUAGGAAUCUGCCUGGUAGUGGGGGAUAACGUUCGGAAACGGACGCUAAUACCGCAUACGUCCUACGGGAGAAAGCAGGGACUCGGCUGCCCACAAUAACUAGUCGGAUAGCUAGUUGGUGAGUAAUGGCUCACCAAGGCGACGAUCGUAACUGGUCUGAGAGAUGAUCAGUCACACUGGAACUGAGACACGUCCAGACUCCUACGGAGCAGCAGUGGG